GACGAACGCUGGCGGCGUGCCUAAUACAUGCAAGUAGAACGCUGAAGGAAGGAGCUUGCUCUUUCCGGAUGAGUUGCGAACGGGUGAGUAACGCGUAGGUAACCUGCCUGGUAGCGGGGGAUAACUAUUGGAAACGAUAGCUAAUACCGCAUAACAGUAGAUAUCGCAUGAUAGCUGCUUGAAAGGUGCAAUUGCAUCACUACCAGAUGGACCUGCGUUGUAUUAGCUAGUUGGUGAGGUAACGGCUCACCAAGGCAACGAUACAUAGCCGACCUGAGAGGGUGAUCGGCCACACUGGGACUGAGACACGGCCCAGACUCCUACGGGAGGCAGCAGUAGGGAAUCUUCGGCAAUGGACGGAAGUCUGACCGAGCAACGCCGCGUGAGUGAAGAAGGUUUUCGGAUCGUAAAGCUCUGUUGUAAGAGAAGAACGAGUGUGAGAGUGGAAAGUUCACACUGUGACGGUAUCU
rnacentral:rRNA from 1 species